rnacentral:rRNA from 1 species
AGUGAGCGCUGGCGGUAGGCCUAACACAUGCAAGUCGAACGGCAGCACAGUAAGAGCUUGCUCUUACGGGUGGCGAGUGGCGGACGGGUGAGGAAUACAUCGGAAUCUACUUUUUCGUGGGGGAUAACGUAGGGAAACUUACGCUAAUACCGCAUACGACCUACGGGUGAAAGCAGGGGAUCUUCGGACCUUGCGCGAUUGAAUGAGCCGAUGUCGGAUUAGCUAGUUGGCGGGGUAAAGGCCCACCAAGGCGACGAUCCGUAGCUGGUCUGAGAGGAUGAUCAGCCACACUGGAACUGAGCCACGGCCCCGACCCCUACGGGAGGCAGCAGUGGGGAAUAUUGGACAAUGGGCGCAAGCCUGAUCCAGCCAUACCGCGUGGGUGAAGAAGGCCUUCGGGUUGUAAAGCCCUUUUGUUGGGAAAGAAAAGCAGCAGGUUAAUACCCCGCUGUUCUGACGGUACCCAAAGAAUAAGCACCGGCUAACUUCGUG